AGAGUUUGAUUCUGGCUCAGGACGAACGCUGGCGGCACGCCUAACACAUGCAAGUCGAACGGACGAGAAGGAGCUUGCUCCUUCAAGUUAGUGGCGGACGGGUGAGUAACACGUGAGCAACCUGCCUUUAAGAGAGGGAUAGCUUCUGGAAACGGAUGGUAAUACCUCAUAACACAUAUUUACCGCAUGAUAGAUAUGUCAAAGAUUUAUCGCUUAAAGAUGGGCUCGCGUCUGAUUAGAUAGUUGGUGAGGUAACGGCUCACCAAGUCGACGAUCAGUAGCCGGACUGAGAGGUUGAACGGCCACAGUUGGACUGAGACACCGGCCCAGACUCCGUACGGGAGGCAGCAGGUGGGGAAUAUUGCACAAGUGGGGGAAACCCUGAUUGCAGCGAUGCCGCGUGGAGGAAGAAGGUUUUCGGAUUGUAAACUCCUUUUGUCAGGGAAGAUAAUGACUGUACCUGACGAAUAAGCUCCGGCUAACUACGUGCCAGCCGCCGC
rnacentral:rRNA from 1 species